AUGCGCCUUGUUUAUCUCAUCCUCGCUGCCUUCCUGAGGCAACCACUGGAUGUCAUGGGGCAGACCUCCGUCACCCAGCAAGAAGGACAAGUCACCGUGGAACAGAGAAACACAUUCCAGACCACUUGCACGUAUCAAAUCCCCAGCUUGUAUGCCUUGUUCUGGUACCAGCAGAAGAAGGGACAAGCCCCUCAACUGGUCACAUAUCACAACACAGCAGGCACCAAGCAGAACGGCCGUUUCACCACGGAGCUGAACACUGCGGGGAAAUCCAGCAUCCUGCGGCUGAAGGAAGUUGAGCUCUCUGACAGCGCCUUGUACCUCUGCGCUGUGCAUGACACCUUGAAGCAGCCCUUCAGCACUUGCGAGGGGGGCAGAGAGAAAGAACAAAAGGAAGCUGGAAAGAAGAACAUGCAGGGACACAAGCCUGACUGA